UCGUCAUCAGAAUGGUCAGAUACUUUCCAUGUUUAAAAGUGUAUUUUCUUUGUUACUUGCACAGGAAUGAACUUCCAGAUCUUAGGUCUUCUCAUACUGCUGGACAGUAAAACAUGCCUGAAGUGAUUGUGCAGAACACUUCAUAAAAUGAAAAAAAUGAGCAGGGUCCAUUCCAGCCGUAUCAGAAGAUGGUUCAAGAAACUUUACAGCAGGGUGAUCUAUAGAAAAAUGUGCCUGCACAGACUUUAUGGCCCUUAUCCUAUAAAGCUUGCUUUCUGCUGUUCUACCUGUUAUAUUAGAUUACAUAUGCGUGUGCACACACAUACAAAACCCCCUCUAGGUGUUUUGGUUUGCAGUACACUACUGGGGGUUUUUUCAGGCUUUUUGGAAGACAGCUAAGCUGCUGACCUGUUUGCUACUGUGCAGCAUAAAAUCCUCAGGCUAAUAAUAAACACACUGUUGAAAAGA